GGCAGGCAUUGAACUUGCAACCAUCCUGCCUCAACCUCCCAAAUAUCUGGGAUUAUAGGCAUGCGCCACCAUGCCUGGCUCAUAAGUCAUUUUUCACAUGUGAAAAUAUAUCUGAGGUGGAAAUUCCUAGGUUAUGAACUAGGGCCUAUUCAUAGGCAUAACUAAUAGACAGCCAGAAAUCUCUAAUCCAUGCUGCUGGGUUAUUCAGCAUCUCAUUUUCUUUUCUGGGAUAGUUGGCAAGGAAAGUGGAUUGGGAAAAGCAUCUUCAUUCAGUCUUUUCCUACUGUUAAACACUUGAUGAAAGCCAGGUAUUAUGCCAUAAGUACCCUUAAAGACCCAUGGUCCCUGAUUUCAUGGAAGUUACAAAC
rnacentral:lncRNA from 1 species